GAAAGGUGUAUGGACUCGUUUUGUAUGAUUCCAUCUCUCAACUUUUGGAUAUGAGUUAUCUUUUUCUCUUUCUAUUUUUUUCUUUUUUUCUUCUUUUUUUGAUCAUGCUUUGAGAAUGGCUUUAUUUCUUUUUGCAUAGCCCAUGUCUCUUUAGAAAGGAUACAUUUGGAGAGAGAGGUCACACCACAUGUGGAGCUUUAUUUGGUGGAUGGAUGGGAUGUUACUAGCUUCCAGUGUAGAAGUCUAGUAUGUGGAAGUGGGGUGUACGUGAUCUUGAUCAUGAAAGUAUGAAGAAUAUUCCACAAGGGUCACAACAAUUAGGCAAAGCUCAACAUAAUAGCAAGUGUUGGUAUAUUUAACGAUCACGAAUAAAUCCGUAAGCGCACGGAUAUACCGUUGUAGAAUUUCACCCAAGAGUAUUCCCAAGGGUAUUAUAUUUCCCAAAGGAAGGUGGGUAGGUCAAAAGAGUUUACUAUGCAUAUGAGUAUACCAUAGAUGGAUAGAGAUAACACUCAAGGCAAGGGUAAGAUAAUGGUAGCGGAGUAGUGUGACACACACAGGAAUCAUCUCAAGAUAACUAAGCUAGGGAGAAGGACUAAGAGUUCAUAUGUACUUCCUAUAUACUGCAUAGAUCAUACAAGCAUAACAUAUAUACA
rnacentral:lncRNA from 1 species